AUCUUGAGAGCUUGCUCUUGGGUGAUCAGUGGCGAACGGGUGAGUAACACGUGAGUAACCUGCCCCUGACUCUGGAAUAACUUCGGGAAACCGAAGCUAAUACCGGAUAUGACACAGAGCCGCAUGGUUUCUGUGUGGAAAGUUUUUCGGUUGGGGAUGGACUCGCGGCCUAUCAGCUUGUUGGUGAGGUAAUGGCUCACCAAGGCGACGACGGGUAGCCGGCCUGAGAGGGCGACCGGCCACACUGGGACUGAGACACGGCCCAGACCUCCUACGGGAGGCAGCAGUGGGGAAUAUUGCACAAUGGGCGAAAGCCUGAUGCAGCGACGCCGCGUGAGGGAUGAAGGCUUCGGGUUGUAAACCUCUUUCAGUAGGGAAGAAGCGCAAGU
rnacentral:rRNA from 1 species